ACAUGCUCCACUAGAAGAGCGAAUCCACGGCGCUGGUGCAUUCAAUGCAGCCAUCUUUGCCGCUGAAUAGCGGGUCCCUGCGGACGUGAAGUCUCCAGUGUGCUGCAGUGUGCAGCAUCCCACAGGCAACGACGACACAGAAGUAGCUGUGCUCCCCGUGGGAAGCCCGAAUGUAAGCAGCCGCUGGAGAACAAGCGCCUGAACCAACCCUGUUCUACAGCCCGACUGCAGCUCUCCAUCGGUCACAACCAAGAAACAAGGGAGUACCAGAACCUAAGACAGGAAGCGCCAAUGUGGUAGGGGUGAAGAGAAAAAACACACCCCAUGCAAACAAAGAAGAGGGGAGGAACAAAGUAGAAAAGAGCAUGGACCAGAACUGCAGGAAGCAUGGGGGAGAAGAGGAAAAAGGACCAGAUACAGGAUGAUGAAUAAAAUCAGUAAUCCCAUGAGAUAAGAAAUUUAC
rnacentral:lncRNA from 1 species